rnacentral:rRNA from 1 species
GAUUUCUGGUACGGUGCGCUUGGCCCGUACGGCUCUGUCGUACGCGUGUCGAUGUGUGCCUGCCAUCCUUCCAGUAAACCAUCUACUCUUAACGGGGCGGGUGGCGAUCUGGAUCUUUUACUUUGAAAAAAUUAGAGUGUUUAAAGCAAGCUUGUGCGUUGAAUACAUUAGCAUGGAAUAAUAAUUUAGGACUUUAUUCCUAUUUUAUUGGUUUCUAGGAGUGAAGUAAUGAUUGAUAGGGAUAGUUGGGGGUGCUAGUAUUCAGCGGCCAGAGGUGAAAUUCUUGGAUUCGCUGAAGACUAACUAAUGCGAAAGCAUU